rnacentral:lncRNA from 1 species
UGCAUUCAAAUGACGAUAAAAUGAAUAAUUACAAAAUAUAAAUAGACUAAUGCUAGAAGUGGUGGCACAAAAGUAGCAACAACUCUUAGCACAUAUCCACUGCAACUACUUAUCCAAAACUCUCCUAAAAAUACUCUAUCACUUAAUGACCAAUUCUACCUGUUAUAAAAUUAAAGAACUACAUCAGCUUUAUUUUACUAAACAAAACAAAUAAAUAAUAAUUAAAUUUAAGAUUAUUCCAACAAUCACCCCCUUAAUCUUAAAUUUAUGAAGCACUUCUCUUCAUUUUGUGAUGCACUUCUCACCACCAUCUCUUCAUUUUGUGAUGCACUUCUCACCACUACCAAGUUUGAUGCACUUCUCAUAAAAAACAAUUAGUUGAUGCACUUCUCACCAACACCAAAUUCAUUGGAGCACUUCUCUCAAGGUGCACAUAAUCACCAUAAUUCGAAUCCAGAAAUCAUUGCAUUCCAAGCAACAAUAUCUCUCUCAGACAUUCCAUCAAACACCUUCCGUGUCCUUGCCUCCACAAAUUUGUUCCAUCUCGUUCUUCAUGGCCUUCUGCCACUCUAACUUGUUCUCUUCCUUCAGCAUGCUUCUCCGGCAUGGUCUCAUUUUUCUCGGCAGCCCCAUACUACACAUGCAUCCCAUACUACAUAUGUAGCGUUGCCACCUUCAUGUCACUGACCACAGCCACCACGAGGACCGCCUCCACCAGCAGUGACUUCACCACCGUCGGCGACGGAGGAACCUGGCUCUGAUACCAAGUGUAGAAAAAGAAAACAAGACCUGAAUCUUUGUUAUAUAUAAGUAUAUUACUGAGACAACUUCUUGUGAGCAAAAUUCAUUGUUUAAAACUAAACUGAAGAAAACAAUGCAUUCAACUGACGAUAAAAUGAAUAAUUACAAAAUAUAAAUAGACUAAUGCUAGAAGUGGUGGCACAAAAGUAGCAACAACUCUUAGCACAUAUCCACUGCAACUACUUAUCCAAAACUCUCCUAAAAAUACUCUAUCACUUAAUGACCAAUUCUACCUGUUAUAAAAUUAAACAACUACAUCAGCUUUAUUUUACUAAACAAAACAAAUAAAUAAUAAUUAAAUUUAAGAUUAUUCCAACACAAUGAUCCAAACUACUUGCGACCAUGGGGGCGGGA